ensembl:lncRNA
GAAGGGGGCAGGAUCCGGGCUUCACAGAGAAUCAUCCCAGUCACACUCACGGGCUGUGGAACACGGUGGGCCGGGCAAUGGGUGGGAGCGGCUGGAGGCGGCCAGAUUCGAGACCCUGGGAGGGUGGACGGCAUCAAGACCGCAGGUCAAGGCCGCCCUCAGACGCCAGGACUGGAGGGAGGGGCCAAGCGAAGACCCCCUGACCCUGCCCUUUGGCAUAUUGGCGGGGUUGCCGCCCACCCUCCCCGCUCCCACGGUCCUUGGGCACCCCUAAUACACUGUCCUGGGCCAUCCGCCCUCAGUACAGCAGGGGGAGUCCUGCCGGGAGUGGGGGGUGGGGCCCCGACGGAAUCCCCAAGGUCUCCAGGGCCCUGGGCUCUGGGGAGACGUCUCUUCGCCCUCUCCCCAGUAAAAGACGCACAACCCAGCAAACUGCGGGGCUUUGGCCCCGCCCAGGACCCAGAAGGCAGGCUGCUGUGCACCGAGAUGGAGGUGGGGACGCGAAGCUGGGGGCCGUUUCCGUGCUUCGAGCCCCGCCCUGAGCGUCCCCGCGGCCGUCGCCUCUCGCUCCCCUCCUCAGGCAGCCCACCGGAAGCCGUGGCGUACCGCCUUCCUGCCCACCUCUUCCGGCUGGCUUCACCAAUGACCAUGCUCGACUCCUGAGAAGACCCGCCCUCCAGCUCCAAGUUUCUAGAAAAAAUCUGCUUUGAACAUUUGUAUCCAGGCUUUCCUGUGGUCAGAAUUUUUCAUUUUCUUUGGCAUGAAUGCCCAGCAGUGCAAGUGCUGUGUCCUAAGGAAGUGGACGAUUAGCCUUAGAAGAAACUGCCAAUUUGCGUUCCACUGUGGCUGGACCAUUUUACCUUACCACCCUGGAUAUUUUUAAAGCACAUAAUUGAAGAUUUUUACAAAACAUUGUUUUAGGCAAGACUGU